UACGGGGGGUGCGAGCGUUUGUCCGGAAUCACUGGGCGUAAAGGGCGCGUAGGUGGUUUGAUAAGGGUGUGGUGAAAGUCCGGGGCUCAACCCCGGAUCUGCCGUGCCGACUGUCAAACUCGAGGACUGUAGAGGCAGGCGGAAUUCCGGGUGUAGCGGUGGAAUGCGUAGAUAUCAGGAGGAACACCGGCGGUGUAGACGGCUUUCUGGACCGUAGCUGACGCUGAGACACGAAAGCGUGGGUAGCAAACAGG
rnacentral:rRNA from 1 species